UAUCCGCAUGGUUGGUGAGAGUGCUGACAGUGUUGGUGCUACUGGAGGCUCAGGUACUAGCAGCAAUAAGAUGCCAACUUUGGAGGAGUAUGGCACAAAUUUGACUAAGUUAGCAGAGGAGGGAAAAUUGGAUCCUGUUGUCGGAAAGUAGCAACAAAUUGAACGUGUCACUCAAAUUUUAGGUCGUCGUACCAGAAACAACCCUUGCCUUAUUGGAGAACCUGGUGUUGGGAAGACAACUAUUGCUGAAGGUCUUGCCCAAUGUAUUGCAAAUGGGGAUGUUCCUGAAACCAUAGAGGGAAAGAAGGUUAUAACCCUUGAUAUGGGACUGCUUGUAGCUGGAACUAAAUAUCGUGGAGAAUUUGAAGAGAGGCUGAA